rnacentral:misc_RNA from 1 species
GAAAACUGAUCGAACGUAUUUCUCCGUAUUUGGCUUCUCUUAUCUUUACAAAACAAAUUAUCAAAUAUGACAGUGUAUCUUGAACAUCGGAGCAAUGCUUUACACUCGUCUAAUUGGGGGUAUUAUGAACCGGAAGAGAACUCAGACCGAAGGGUCAGAUGCUUCUGACCACUUCGUUUCGGUCAACGAAAGACCUGUCGACGAUAUUAGUCUUGAAUUUUUCUACAAACCUCACACAAUUACCCUUCUAGUCGCCUGCAUAUCUGGAAUAACAUACACUGCAUUUGCUAGAGAUGAGACAGUUGAUUAUCACAGUAACCUGUAUACUGGGUUAGUUGGAGUAUCAAUUAUAUUUUUGAUAAUAUCUAUUCUCACCCUUCCGAACGGUCCAUUCACUAGACCCCACCCUGCAAUAUGGAGAUGUGUUCUAGGGAUGUCUAUAAUGUAUUUGCUACUACUACAAUUCAUGAUUCAUCAAGACUGGGCAACAAUAAGAUCCGUUAUUGUCUGGAUAGAUCCUAAGAUGGCAAACUAUUCCAUAGACGCUGAAAAGGAGUACGGUCAGGAUUGUUGGGAUAUCACCUUCGAACGACUCUACUCCCACGUCGAUGUUUUCGCUUUCGGGCACUACUGGGGCUGGGGGAUGAAGGCUCUCGUAAUCCGUCACUACGGGAUCCUCUGGUCUAUUUCUAUAAUGUGGGAGCUAACUGAGGUUAUGUUCGGACAUCUUCUUCCAAACUUUUACGAGUGCUGGUGGGAUAAUAUGAUUCUAGAUGUCAUGAUCUGCAAUGGAUUGGGUAUUUUCACUGGAAUGCAGGUCUGUAGGUUUCUGGAGAUGAGAGAAUAUAAAUGGGAGAGCAUUAAAAACAUACAAACCACAACCGGAAAAUUCAAAAGAGCUAUGCUUCAAUUCACUCCGGAAUCCUGGACUCAUGUUAGAUGGCUAGACCCCAACUCCAGCUAUAUGCGUCUUAUUGCUAUUAUUCAGUUUAUUCUAAUCUGGCAGGUUGUAGAGUUGAACACGUUCUUUAUAAAACACAUAUUCCCGAUGCCAACUGAACACCCAAUCUGUGUUGCUAGGAUUCUAUUAAAUGGUUUAAUCUCAGCUCCAGCUAUUAGACAGUAUUACACCUAUGUGACGGAUCCCCAGUGUAAGAGGGUCGGAACCCAGCUCUGGGUCUUCAUGAUGAUUGCGCUGAGUGAGUUGAUUCUUGUACUCAAGUUUGGUUUGGAUAUAUUCUCGCACACCCAGAUAUCUAAGAUGUUGGUCUGGUUGUGUCUCAACAUAAUUGUUAGCGUUCUCGGAGUUUUUGUAAGCAUGGAGGUAUUCAAGUGGCGACACAAUAAAUCCGAAUCGGCUCCGCCCCAGGAUGAAGUGGCGGAAGAUGAGAUGGUUUCCCGACUUCUCAACUCCGCCGGAGAACCUGCCGUUCGCAGAAGUCCUCGGCACGCGGGAAAACCGGAAUUAAAAGUUCGGAAACGAAAUGUCCAACUUCCUCCUUAAGUUGAGAGGGAUUACGACUUUCUUGUUUGUGCCAAAAAAUGUGCUAAAUUCGUAUUCUUUAUAUCUUGAGUUCAUAUCGGUUCUAGCCAAUUAGUCCAAUUUGUGAAUAUAGAAGUAAAAGUAAGGAAAUCAUAUUCGUGACCCGCUAGUUUCCUUAAUCUUUUAUCUCAACUCAUUAGCCAAAAGAGUGAUAUCUAGAGCUCUUUGACGAUACACCGAGUUUAUCAGGAAGAAAUUUCAAUCUUUUUGGCUUUUUUCACUUUUGUUGAGACAACAUUAAGAAUGGCGUUUGUAUUUUUAAUUCUCUUAUUUUGCGGUUUUUGAAUUUUUAUUUGCUUUGUUUGUUGCCUUUAAAUUUUUAAUUUGUAAGAACAACUUUUAAUGUUUGUAGAAUUCAACUUGUUUUCAAAAGAAAUAUCUCUCUCUUAAACAAUAAACAUCCUGCCCCCCACCUGCUCUCAGUAUACAAUUUUGAUUUUGUCAACAUUUUUGUUCUCUCUCAGAUAAUAUUUGAAUUUAGGCAACCCUCGUAUGAAAAAAUCACAGGUCGGAACUGUUGUGGUGGGAAGUAUCGUUAAUCUUGAACGCUUAAUCUCGACUAAUACGUUGGUCUGCAAUAAGAUCUAAGUUUAUCCUGAGUUUCACAACACACAAGUUCUGACUUCAGUUUAUGUUUUUUAAACAAUGUUAUGAAGGAACAAAAGAUUAAAAAUGUUCCUGCUCCUGAAGAACUUUAUGAAAAUAGUCGAUCAAAUUUAAAUUGUAAUGAACUUCCGUUGUGAUGUACUGUACAUGUGACCGUUCAAUGAAAUAUGACUUCUUAUUGUGUAUGUAUUAUGUUUUAUUAAACUUCAUAGAUAUAUAUAUGUUCAUGUUUUUAAAUGAUAUUAAAACUCGAAAUAAUUAA